GAUGAACGCUAGCGGGAGGCCUAAUACAUGCAAGUCGAACGGUAAGGUCCCUUCGGGGAUACACGAGUGGCGGACGGGUGCGUAACGCGUACGAAACAUACCUUCAACAGGGAGAUACCUCCGGGAAACUGGAAAUAAUACCCCAUAGUAUUGAGAUAUCGCAUGAUAUUUCAAUUAAAGCUUUGGUCGGUUGAAGAUUGUCGUGCGUCUGAUUAGCUAGUUGGUGAGGUAACGGCUCACCAAGGCGACGAUCAGUAGCUGGUCUGAGAGGAUGAUCAGCCACACUGGAACUGAGACACGGUCCAGACUCCUACGGGAGGCAGCAGUAGGGAAUAUUGGACAAU
rnacentral:rRNA from 1 species